GAUGAACGCUAGCGGCAGGCCUAAUACAUGCAAGUCGAGGGGUAUGGGUUGCUUGCAACCCAGAGACCGGCGCACGGGUGCGUAACGCGUAUGCAAUCUACCUUAAUCAGGGGGAUAGCCCGGAGAAAUCCGGAUUAACACCGCAUAACAUUGAGUUGUGGCAUCACAGUUCAAUCAAAUAUUUAUAGGAUUAAGAUGAGCAUGCGUGACAUUAGUUAGUUGGUGAGGUAACGGCUCACCAAGACCACGAUGUCUAGGGGAUCUGAGAGGAUGACCCCCCACACUGGUACUGAGACACGGGCCAGACUCCUACGGGAGGCAGCAGUAAGGAAUAUUGGUCAAUGGGCGCAAGCCUGAACCAGCCAUGCCGCGUGCAGGAAGACGGCCCUAUGGGUUGUAAACUGCUUUUGUACCGGAAUAAACCUUCUCUUGCGAGAGAAGCUGAACGUACGGUAAGAAUAAGGAUCGGCUAACUCCGUG
rnacentral:rRNA from 1 species